UGUUGGCAUCCUUGAUCAGGUGUUGCUUA
rnacentral:piRNA from 1 species